UUUCUUUCUCGCGUUCUUAUCUCUCAAAUUGAAAACCUAGCGGGUGUUCUUCUUCUUCUUUUACUUCAAAACACUAAAAUAUGCAUCUCUGCAAUGCUUGGCUUCUACCACCGAUGGCCGUAGAGAGAAAACCGGAAAAGCACAAGGAUUUGUGGCUGGGGUGGAAUCAUUAUCAAGUUUGUUAUCACCGCUUGUAUCGAGUCCAUUGACUUCUGAGUGGACUAACUCAUCUUUUGUUUAAUUGAGUGUUAGAAUCAAUUCAUAUGUAUUGCUAACAAGUUAAAUUGUUAUUUCAGCAUGGUUCUUACCUAGCAGUGCUCCUUUCAAUUGCAAAGGUUUUAGUAUUGUAUGCACAUCUAUAUGCAUGCAAUAAUUCAGAGGAUGACAUUGAAUCACCAUUGCUAAGUGAGAGUUGAUUGUUUGUACCAAGCUGAUAUAAAUAUUUGGGGUCUCUGCAUAGAGCAAUGUUGUAAUUGUAUUAGAGCAACUAAGCUUCCAAUGUGUUUAUCCCUUAGAAAUUUUUCUUAAACUUUAUGCACCCUUGAGCUACAGAGGAUGACAUUGAAGCUUCACCUCCAAGUGAUAUAGUUAAUUGUUGUUUUUCCAAAGCAUUUUGUAAUAGCUUUUAUAGGCGGUGAUGUUAUAUUUGGCAUCCCUAAAAGUGAUAUGCUUUCAUGCACUCAAUGGAGCUUUAGAUUAAAUGUUAUGGUCUAUCUCAACACCAUGUAAUGAUGCAAGAGUUAUCAGUAGAUUAUUGUAUUGGUUUCUUUAUAUUA